rnacentral:rRNA from 1 species
AGUGAACGCUGGCGGUAGGCCUAACACAUGCAAGUCGAACGGCAGCACAGUAAGAGCUUGCUCUUACGGGUGGCGAGUGGCGGACGGGUGAGGAAUACAUCGGAAUCUACUUUUUCGUGGGGGAUAACGUAGGGAAACUUACGCUAAUACCGCAUACUACCUACGGGUGAAAGCAGGGGAUCUUCGGACCUUGAGCGAUUGAAUGAGCCGAUGUCGGAUUAGCUAGUUGGCGGGGUAAAGGCCCACCAAGGCGACGAUCCGUAGCUGGUCUGAGAGGAUGAUCAGCCACACUGGAACUGAGACACGGUCCAGACUCCUACGGGAGGCAGCAGUGGGGAAUAUUGGACAAUGGGCGCAAGCCUGAUCCAGCCAUACCGCGUGGGUGAAGAAGGCCUUCGGGUUGUAAAGCCCUUUUGUUGGGAAAGAAAAGCAGCAGGUUAAUACCCCGCUGUUCUGACGGUACCCAAAGAAUAAGCACCGGCUAACUUCGUG